ensembl:lncRNA
ACCAGCUCUUGUCUCAAUGAUAAGACAGUGUUGACUUCCAAAUUUUUUUAAUCAAAAUCAAGACAAGAACAAUGUAUUUAAUAAUUAGAAAAGGGGACAGAUCUGCAAAAGACUAGUCAAGUGCAGUAGUGAGAAGGGGGGAAGAGUAGAACGAGGAGUUCGAUCUGUAACUGACUGUGAACAAUCAAUUGAGAUAACUCACUACCUUCGGACCAGCCAAUGUACAUUGCAGCCGCCUACAGUACUUAAAGCUCAAGUAUUCAUUCACUUUUACCUUACAGUGAUAUUUCAGUUGGCAUCUAUAAAGUACAACACUUGCAAUAUGAAUAAUAUGCACCUCUUAACACACACACCCCCGCCCCGAGAGCACCUAUUUAUCAAAAAAUAACAGAAAUGUGUUUAAUGACAAGAAUCAGAAGCACUGCUGAGCAUCCUGGGAAAGAAACAUGCAAAAUUAGCAUCUCGUCACUAGGGCGUGUCUCAGUCCCGUUGGUCGGGGGAGGCUCAGCUGUCCAAUCAGCGCUGACCUCCUUUGUCUGUUUCCCACACGUGACCGGCGAGACCGCUCAGCGAAGUCUGUAGAAAGCUGUGAGCCGGAGCUGAUGAAGUCUUGUGCCUCCCCACGUCUGUAAAUCCAGGCGGAGCCACCACACCCUGGAAGCAGCACUCUCGCAUCUUGGAGUCGGCUCCCUCCAGAAGGGCAGAGGUGUUUCCGGAUGACUCAAGAUCUGCCCCUCCUCCUUAAAUCCCAAGUGACUAAAAAAACAAACAAACCUGAGACCACCACAGGGAUGGGAAGACAAGCCUCUGAAACACCCAAACAUAUUGGGUGCUUCUGAGGAUUUCAGAAUUUGAAAAGGUCAAAAGACAGAAGCCGAAGGUCAGAAGUGAGGAUGACGAAGCGAAGGCAAGAGGGACAGAUUUCUGUAAAAGCCUCAGAGAGGCAAAACUCAGAAGGACCUGAAAGUUCACCCCAAUGCAAAGAACAGCACAAGGACUGCGGAAAUGCGUCUGGGACAGCCAGGUAUACCACCGAGACAGUGACCGUUGAACGUUCCUUCCUCAAAACUCGUGCAAAACACAACUCAACUGACCCAAGUCAUUGUGCCAUUUUCUUCUGAAACUGGAGCAGUUGUGGGAAAAAGAAGAGGUGACAGAGAUGCUCUAGCUGAGAUGCGACAGCUGAUGAACCAAACAGGCUAACUGUAAAAAGACGUUGUUUGAGAAAAGUGGGGAAAUCCGGACAGGUACUGGAUGAAGUACUGCUUAUUUUCGUGACUGUGAUAAGGCACUGAGGUUCUGUAGGAAAAUGCUUUCUCAAAUGUGUCGGGAUGAAAUGACAUAUCCUGGCUGUGUCAUUAAAAGAGGGGAUAUGAAAAUGUAGCCCUUGGAGUUGCAAAGAGUUGGACACGACCUAGUGACUGAACAAUGAAAAUGUAGCAAGAUUUUUGUAAUUGUUUUAGGUGGAUGAUGAGUAAAGGGCAUUGAUUAUAUAAUGCUCUUCCUUUCUGGUGUAUGCUUGAGAAGUUUCCUAAUUAAAUAACAAAAAAGUUGAUUCAGACCCUGGAUGUGAUACCCAUCUUCUCAGGUCCACUCACUCACCCGCCCCAGCUCCUGCUGGCCCCCGACUGUUAGAGCCACUCGGUCCCAGAGCAGCCUCGCUCCUUGCAGCAGGCCCUGGCUCCCCUGCUGCGACUGCACUGGCUUUUCUGUAAGGGAUAUGCCCCAUUUUGGGGUGGGGCACAAACCCCAGGUCUACCUUUGCAGACACGCACCCUCUUCCCUCCUUCAGCUGUAAAGUGAGCACAAGGGCGUCUCCCUCACAGAUCACUGAAGUGGGAUAUCCAGCAAACUGCUAGACACAGGGCCUGGCUUUGCUAAAUGUCCAAUAAAUAUUACCUAUGACUCCCGCGAUUACUUGAU